CUUCCAAUUUUAUGCCUAUAAAAAGGGGACAACCAUUACUCAAUUCCUGCAGUACUUUGAAACACAGAGCUGUAACUAUAAAGGAGGCAAGAUUCUAGUAAGCUUUGGAACUAACAAUAUUGGUGGCUUGUCUCCUAGACAUGGAUUCUUUGAUGCAUGCACCAUACUAAGGAGUCAAGGAAAACUUCAUGGUAUCUUUAUUUGGUCUGCAGAUGACUCUAAAAAGGAUCAUUUUUUAUAUGAAAAACUGUCACAGGACCUCUUAGGAAGUUCAAUUUUAAUUUCUUGCAACCAUUUAAAAUAAUCUUUUGUAGGCCAUGACAAAAGAUAAAAUUAAAGCAGAAGAAUGUUGUGUUUUAUCUUGGAGGAUUCUCUUGGAAAUAAAACAUGUUUGAGGUAGCACUCUUACUGUGGUCUUACAAUCAAGAUAUUGAUGCAAACAAGUUCAAAUUUACAGUUCACAAAAGUGAUAAAACUUACUCUUCGCAGAAAAACAAUUUUUUUUACAAUAGUUUGUAAAAGGAUUAAGACCAAGCAUUUCACCAAAACAUAAGCUGUCAAUUAGACUGACCAACAGCAUUACUCAGGUCUAUACGUUUAUGACCCAUUGUAAUUGUAAUGCCUCUACUUGAAUACAAAUAUGUUUCAAUGCAAUUUGUGUAAAGAUCCCAAGACAAAAAGGUACCUGGUUUCCCUAAUUUGUGCCUUAAAUUAGACACCUAGAAAAUAUGCAAUUGAGAAAUUUCCAUUUUCAAAAGUAAGCAAUCCCUUCAGUAUCUUGAGUAAAGUAAGUAAAACAUACAACUUGAUUGACUAGCUUCCAGUUCUACCAGCAUAUGUCGUAUAUGUUGCCCAAGCCCUUUGCACUUCUCUUCAUCUACCUCAUCACUGUCACUGCAUUUGGAGCCAAUAUUCAUCCAAAGUAAACUCUUCCUUUAGCUCAAUGAAGGUAGUCAGACUAUGUUAACCCAGAAACUCAGACAAGCAAAAAUUCCGUGCAUAUAUUAGCUAAAAUGUUGCUCUCCAAAUAAAGCAGAUUAGAGGAAACAUUUUCCAGUUAUGAAGAAAUGGACUGACUGGGUUUAACUUAAAAAGAUAUAUCAUGUGAGAAAUGGAAGAUAUCGUGCUAUUGUGUUAUACAAGUGAAAAUCCACCGCUUACAGUCCAUGCAUGAGCCUUUGAACCAUCCUGUGCAGUAACUUCUUCCAGCCUACUCUUUGAAAAGAAGAAACAGGUAAAAGACAACUCAAUACCCCAUAAGUUUUCAUGUCAACUGUCUAAAUUCGAUCAGAUUGAGAAUGGUACAACCAACUUGAGUCAACGAACCAAUACUCAAUAUCAUCUCGGCUGAUUCUUAUGAGAGAGCAUGAUGGCUUUGAGGCAUCCCCUAGCAAAG
rnacentral:lncRNA from 1 species